rnacentral:rRNA from 1 species
CUACGUGCCAGCAGCCGCGGUAAUACGGAGGGUGCGAGCGUUAAUCGGAAUAACUGGGCGUAAAGGGCACGCAGGCGGUGACUUGAGUGAGGUGUGAAAGCCCCGGGCUUAACCUGGGAAUUGCAUUUCAUACUGGGUCGCUAGAGUACUUUAGGGAGGGGUAGAAUUCCACGUGUAGCGGUGAAAUGCGUAGAGAUGUGGAGGAAUACCGAAGGCGAAGGCAGCCCCUUGGGAAUGUACUGACGCUCAUGUGCGAAAGCGUGGGGAGCAAACAGGAUUAGAUACCCUGGUAGUCCACGCUGUAAACGAUGUCGAUUUGGGGGUUGAGCUUUAAGUUUGGCGCCCGUAGCUAACGUGAUAAAUCGACCGCCUGGGGAGUACGGCCGCAAGGUUAAAACUCAAAUGAAUUGACGGGGGCCCGCACAAGCGGUGGAGCAUGUGGUUUAAUUCGAUGCAACGCGAAGAACCUUACCUACUCUUGACAUCCAGAGAACAUUC